GUGCCAGCCGCCGGGGUACUACCGGCAGCCCGAGUGAUGGCCGAUCUUAUUGGGCCUAAAGCGUCCGUAGCUGGGUCUGAAAGUCCAUCGGGAAAUCCACUCGCUCAACGAGUGGCCGUCCGGCGGAACCUGUGUGGCUUGGGACCGGGAGGCCUGAGGGGUACGAUCGGGGUAGGAGUGAAAUCCUGUAAUCCCGCACGGACCACCGAUGGCGAAAGCACUUCGAGAAAACGGAUCCGACAGUGAGGGACGAAAGCCAGGGUCUCCAACCGGAUUAGAAACCCGAGUAGUCC
rnacentral:rRNA from 1 species